rnacentral:lncRNA from 1 species
AUUCGUGCCUGUUUCCAUAGUAACAAGCCAAACAUGAGAACUCUUGUCUGCAAGAAAUGAAGUGUUGACUAAUAUGUUCCAGUUGUCAUAUGUGCUAAAAAUAGCAGCCAAACAGGCCUUAAGUCAUGCACCAGAGGAGGAUGCGGUUUCGUACUUGGAAGAAAAAGGUGUUAUAUCCAAAAGAAAAUUAUGCAAAACAAAGAAACAUUUUUAUGAGUACAAGAAAAGUGGUGGGAAUAUGUAUUGACGAUGCACGCACCAAGGAUGCAUGGAGUCUGUGUCAGUGAGGAAAGACACAUGGUUUGAAGAUGGCACCCUUCCUCUUAGGACUGUAGUGUUUUUCCUUUGCUCAUGAGUUAUGGAAUUGACUUCAGUCCAGUUUUGUGUUGAAAAACUGGAGAUGAGCCAUUGCACAGCAGUUGUUUAUAACAGCUAUGCUAGUCUAGUACCAAAUGACCCACAACCCAGUACUGGUCCACGUCCUGGUGACCAAGAAUCCCUGUCUUUGGAUCUCGCAUAUUAAAUACGGUAGAGAUGUUGGCCCUACGUAAACCCAUUUUUACCUCUGGGAACUGGAAGUCAAUAUUAAUCUUGCCUAU